UACGUAGGUGACAAGCGUUGUCCGGAUUUACUGGGCGUAAAGAGCGCGCAGGCGGUCGUUCAAGUCGAGUGUGAAAGCCCCCGGCUCAACUGGGGAGGGUCACUCGAUACUGAUCGACUCGAAGGCAGGAGAGGGUAGUGGAAUUCCCGGUGUAGUGGUGAAAUGCGUAGAUAUCGGGAGGAACACCGGUGGCGAAGGCGGCGUCCUGGACCAACACUGACACUGAUGAGCGAAAGCCAGGGGAGCAAACGGG
rnacentral:rRNA from 1 species